rnacentral:rRNA from 1 species
AUUGAACGCUGGCGGCAGGCUUAACACAUGCAAGUCGAGCGGUAACAGAGAGAAGCUUGCUUCUCUGCUGACGAGCGGCGGACGGGUGAGUAAUGCCUAGGAAUCUGCCUAGUAGUGGGGGAUAACUUGCCGAAAGGUAAGCUAAUACCGCAUACGUCCUACGGGAGAAAGGAGGGGACCUUCGGGCCUUUCGCUAUUAGAUGAGCCUAGGUCGGAUUAGUUAGUUGGUGAGGUAAUGGCUCACCAAGACCGCGUUCCGUAACUGGUCUGAGAGGAUGAUCAGUCACACUGGAACUGAGACACGGUCCAGACUCCUACGGGAGGCAGCAGUGGGGAAUAUUGGACAAUGGGGGGAACCCUGAUCCAGCCAUGCCGCGUGUGUGAAGAAGGUCUUAGGUUUGUAAAGCACUUUAAGUUGGGAGGAAGAGCAGUUAACUAAUAUUUGACUGUUUUGACGUUACCGACAGAAUAAGCACCGGCUAACUUCGUGCCAGCCGCCGCAGUAA